rnacentral:tRNA from 1 species
GGAGAGAUGGACGAGUGUUUUAAGGCGUAGCAUUGGAAUUGCUAUGUAGGCUUUCAUUUACCGAGGGUUCGAAUCCCUCUCUUUCCG